GACGAACGCUGGCGGCGUGCUUAACACAUGCAAGUCGAACGGAAAGGCCCUGCUUUUGUGGGGUGCUCGAGUGGCGAACGGGUGAGUAACACGUGAGUAACCUGCCCUUGACUUUGGGAUAACUUCCGGAAACUGGGGCUAAUACCGGAUAGGAGCUCCUGCUGCAUGGUGGGGGUUGGAAAGUUUCGGCGGUUGGGGAUGGACUCGCGGCUUAUCAGCUUGUUGGUGGGGUAGUGGCUUACCAAGGCUUUGACGGGUAGCCGGGCUGAGAGGGUGACCGGCCACAUUGGGACUGAGAUACGGCCCAGACUCCUACGGGAGGCAGCAGUGGGGAAUAUUGCACAAUGGGCGGAAGCCUGAUGCAGCAACGCCGCGUGCGGGAUGACGGCCUUCGGGUUGUAAACCGCUUUCGCCUGUGACGAAGCGUGAGUGACGGUAAUGGGUAAAGAAGCACCGGCUAACUACGUG
rnacentral:rRNA from 1 species